AUUUAUUUUGGUUUUCUACAUAUUGGGUUCCUUCAUCCAUGAAUUUGAGAUGGAAUAUUCAGAAUUUAUAAGAAUGGCAAACAAACAGGAAAAGACUGAGAGAAAGUGAUCCAUGAGAGUAAUCCUUUGUGAAUACAAUUUAUAAUCCCUUUUAUGUUUUAGUAAGCUGUCAUCAUGAGUUUCUGUGUCUAAAGAAAAUAAGUAUCAAUUGUUUAGUAACCCUUUGGUAAUGAGUUUUUGUUAAAUCUGAGAAAAUGGUCACUGAACUUGAAUUCAAUAUUUUUUGUUUGUUUGGUUUUUCAUUUUUAUUAUUUUUCCCUCAAUUUAAAGACUUUGAUGAAAGCUGGGGGGAAAAAAAACAAUUCUAAGGUCACUUUAACUUCGCCUACUUUAAUGGGAAUUCCCUCUAUCGUAACUUCCUCUUGAAGACCUCCAAUGAUAGAAAAUUUAUUGAUAUGUUAGUAUACCUUUCUAUAUUGGAACAACUGUUAACUCUUAGGAAAUAUUUUGUUUUGUUUUGUUUUGUUUUCCUUACUUUGAGCUUCAUUAAAUUGUUCUUUCUACAGUUUAGCCCUCUGGAGCAAGCAAGAAUCCUCUUCCACUUGAGAGAUCUUCAUAUACUUAAAUACAGAUAUCCUGUCUCCCCAUGGUCGUCUUAUUCUCAGAUACCUUAUUUUUGAAUAUUUCAGGAGAAUUCAAAAUAAGAUGAACAGAGCAAGAAAGUUCACAAGAUUCAACAGCUCACUCUUGUCCUUGACUGAGAAAUAGUACUCUAACUCAUUUUAUUUUGAGGGAAUAAAGGGAAAUACAAGAUCCA
rnacentral:lncRNA from 1 species